rnacentral:lncRNA from 1 species
GAGACAGGGUUUCACCAUGUUGGUUAGGCUGGUCUCGAACUCCUCACCUCAGGUGAUCUACCUGCCUUGGCCUCAGAAAGUGCUGGGAUUACAGGUGUGAGCUACCACGUCUGGCUUCAAGCCCACCUCCUGCAUUCAAGUGAUUCUCAUGCCUCAGGCUCCUGAGUGGCAGAGUUAUAGCUAAAAACCAGAAACCUUAACAUCAGACGUCACAUGUGUCUUGGUUGAAGCCAGCCUUUUUAGAUCAUUCAUCAGUCACAAUACCUGGUUAGAAAAACCUGAAUUCGUUUACCUGU